UUUGAAGUUGGGUCAAUCCCCAUUGAAGCUUCUGCUGCAUAUCCUAGUCUUCAUCAUCCAUAGUUUCGUAACACUAGAACUUCAAUGCCAGCACCCCAUCACCACCAUAACCAACAAAAGCAACAACACUAUUAUUAUUAUUAUUAUUAUUAUUGUUGUUGUUGCUUUCGUAGAAGCAGCUACAGGGAAUGAAUCAGAAUCAGAAAUUAUUCCAAUUCUAUACAUAAAAAAAAAGAACGGGGAAAAAAAAGAAUGGGAAAGAAGCAAUCUUUGCGUAGCUAAGCUGCCCAGAUUGUAUCUGUUAUCCUGAAUCCAAUAUCUGACUCUGACACUCUCAAACACCCACCUCCACCACCUUCUAGAAAACUGAAGAGGGUAGCAAUGAUUUAGUUGAUGGCCCUGACACCUCAUCUUUCAGUGCAUUUCUAUAUUCUUUGUUGUCUUCAUCAGAUGCUCCCUUUACCCGAUUCAUCGUUGAAGGAGAAUAAUGGUGGAAAGAAAAGCUUGUUCUCUAGGAGUAAGCAAUCACUCGGUAGAGCUAUUCGCCAAGACGCUAGGAUCGGGGGCGGAAGGAUAAUAAUUCCGAAAUGAAUUAUCAUUGUCUAAAUGGUUCUAGAUUGAAUGGUGUUGAGAUGAAUCAUCUUGCAACUGUGAAAGGGAAAGAACUAGAGUCUUUCAAUUUUUUUCUUUUGGCAGUGUGAAAGUAACAAUUUAAGCAAAGAGAUAGCGACGGAAGUAGAAAGUUCUUACA